CUGCCUCCCUCCUGGGUCCCUUGAGUUCUAUGCCUGUGUUUACUAUGUAGUGUAUCACAAUGGGGGUGGCUGGUGGCGAUAACGUACCAAGACUUUGAAGAACAUUUCGCUGCGCGUGGAUGCGUGCUGUCAAAUAUUUGUGUUGUAACUCAAGUAUAUUCGGAUGAAAUUUGUGCAGUCAAUGCAAAUGAUACUUGGGAAAAUGGCAGUUACCGAACAUCUAGUUUCGCCAAUAGAUGCUUAAUGCAUUAUUACAAUUGUCUAGGAAAAGGCUUAUUCUUUCAUCACGGAGACGGUAACUGUACUCAAGAGGACUCCCCAUUUCUCACGGUUAUUACAGAAGCAUGGCGGACAAAGGAACAUUGGCGGAUGGAUACUACACUUUCUACUCCAUUAAUGAAGUCGACUAAGCGCAACUUUUGGGAUUCAAAAGAUUUAAAGCCAAUGCGAGAACUUAUGUAUAAUGUGACGUCGUUUUUGUUAAAAUCAUCUAUCACUAAAUUGAGUCACUGGUUUAGCGCAAAAAAUUAAAAGUUAUUGAUUAUACCUAAUAGAGUUCUUAGGUUUUCGCGGUUGUUACAUAUUGGAAAUUAAAUGUUUUUCUGGUCUAAAUC